ACGGGAGGCAGCAGUGGGGAAUAUUGGACAAUGGGGGAAACCCUGAUCCAGCGACGCCGCGUGAGUGAAGAAGUAUUUCGGUAUGUAAAGCUCUAUCAGCAGGGAGGAUAAUGACGGUACCUGACUAAGAAGCCCCGGCUAACUACGUGCCAGCAGCCGCGGUAAUACGUAGGGGGCAAGCGUUAUCCGGAUUUGCUGGGUGUAAAGGGAGCGUAGACGGCAAGGCAAGUCUGAUGUGAAAACCCAGGGCUCAACCGUGGGACUGCAUUGGAGACUGUCUAGCUAGAGUGCAGGAGAGGUAAGUGGAAUUCCUAGUGUAGCGGUGAAAUGCGUAGGUAUUAGGAGGAACACCAGUGGCGAAGGCGGCUUACUGGACUGUAACUGACGUUGAGGCUCGAAAGCGUGGGGAGCAAACAGGAUUAGAUACCCUGGUA
rnacentral:rRNA from 1 species